UACGUAGGGCGCAAGCGUUGUCCGGAAUUAUUGGGCGUAAAGAGCUCGUAGGCGGUCUGUCGCGUCGGUUGUGAAAACACAAGGCUCAACCUUGUGCCUGCAAUCGAUACGGGCAGACUAGAGUACUGCAGGGGAGACUGGAAUCCCUGGUGUAGCGGUGGAAUGCGCAGAUAUCAGGAGGAACACCGGUGGCGAAGGCGGGUCUCUGGGCAGUAACUGACGCUGAGGAGCGAAAGCGUGGGGAGCAAACAGG
rnacentral:rRNA from 1 species